rnacentral:rRNA from 1 species
AGUAACGGCGAGUGAAGCGGGAAGAGCUUAAAUUUAAAAUCUGGCAGUGUAUUCUGUCCGAGUUGUAGUCUAGAGAAGCAUCAUCCGUGCUGGACCAUGUACAAGUCUCUUGGAACAGAGCGUCAUAGAGGGUGAGAAUCCCGUCCAUGACAUGGACUCCUAGUACUUUGUGUUGUGCUCUCAACGAGUCGAGUUGUUUGGG